rnacentral:rRNA from 1 species
UGAGGAAUAUUGGUCAAUGGGCGCGAGCCUGAACCAGCCAAGUCGCGUGAGGGAUGACGGCCCUACGGGUUGUAAACCUCUUUUGUUCGGGGGAGGCAAAUUCCGCCACGUGUGGCGGAGUCGAGAGUACCCGAAGAAAAAGCAUCGGCUAACUCCGUGCC